GGGGGAGCUUGCUCCCGCCGACGACCGGCGCACGGGUGCGUAACGCGUAUGCAACCUGCCCAUGACUGGGGGACAGCCCGGGGAAACCCGGAUUAAUACCCCAUAAAACAGGGGCGCCUCAUGGCGAUAUUUGUUAAAGCUUCGGCGGUCAUGGAUGGGCAUGCGUGGGAUUAGCUAGUUGGUAAGGUAACGGCUUACCAAGGCCACGAUCCCUAGGGGGCCUGAGAGGGUAGCCCCCCACACUGGCACUGAGACACGGGCCAGACUCCUACGGGAGGCAGCAGUAGGGAAUAUUGGGCAAUGGAGGAAACUCUGACCCAGCCAUGCCGCGUGGACGAUGAAGGCCUUCGGGUUGUAAAGUCCUUUUACACGGGAAGAACCGUUCCGAUGCGUCGGGGCCUGACGGUACCGUGCGAAUAAGCACCGGCUAACUCCGUGCCAGCAGCCGCGGUAAUACGGAGGGUGCGAGCGUUGUCCGGAUUUAUUGGGUUUAAAGGGUACGUAGGCGGCGUAUUAAGUCAGUGGUGAAAUCCUGCGGCUCAACCGUAGAACAGCCAUUGAUACUGGUAUGCUUGAGUAUUGUUGAGGUAGGCGGAAUUUGUGGUGUAGCGGUGAAAUGCAUAGAUACCACAAGGAACACCAAAUGCGAAGGCAGCUUACUGGGCAAUAACUGACGCUCAUGUACGAAAGCGCGGGGAGCGAACAGGAUUAGAUACCCUGGUAGUCCGCGCCGUAAACGA
rnacentral:rRNA from 1 species